AUUGAACGCUAGCGGGAUGCUUUACACAUGCAAGUCGAACGAGUGGAGGACGGGUGAGUAAUAUAUCGGAACGUGCCCAGUAGAGGGGGAUAACUACUCGAAAGAGUGGCAAAUACUGCAAAAUAUUGGAGCGGCCGAGAUUGGAUUAGCUAGUUGGUGGGGUAAAGGCGCACCAAGGCAACGAUCCGUAGCUGGUUUGAGAGGACGACCAGCCACACUGGGACUGAGACACGGCCCAGACUCCUACGGGAGGCAGCAGUGGGGAAUUUUGGACAAUGGGGGAAACCCUGAUCCAGCCAUCCCGCGUGUAUGAGAAGGCCUUCGGGUUGUAAAGUACUGUUGGCAGAGAAGCGGUAUCUACAGAAUAAGCACCGGCUAACUACGUGCCAGCAGCCGCGGUAAUAC
rnacentral:rRNA from 1 species